CCAGCAUGCUUUGUGUUUCAAAAAAUGGCGGCGAGCCUAAGCGACAUCCAGAACGAAGAGUUUGAAAAUAGCUGCUUGUUUUUGAACGAUGAAGAUGGAUCACCGAUCCUAUUCUACAUCACUCCUGGCCCUCUCAAAAAACGCCUCAAAACUUUGAUCGAGGUUCGUGGAGGCAUAGUAAGCAGCAAAAUAACUCCUGGAGUUGACACAAUAUUGCUUCAAGAGUCUUCAAAGGAUAAGCCGUUGCUUGAUGGAUAUACAUCUUCUGAGUAUAUUAAUGACUGUAUCCACAAGAAUGAAUUGCUGAACAUCAAACCAUACCAGGCCAGAGCAACUGAAAAAGCAGGGAAAAGUAAACUAGGUGCUGUUUCGUCAUCAAAUUCUACAAACAUAGUAAAAUCAACGACUGGUGGGAGAGCAAAAUACACGUAUGAGGAGGACCAAGCCAUCUUGGACUAUGUGAAGCAGUAUGCCUGCCCUGGCAUCCCUGUUGGGGGCAAUGUUCUCUGGAAACAAAUGGAGAGAGAAAAGGUGACAGGUCACUCAUGGCAAUCAAUGCAAUGCCGGUACAGGAAGAUCCUCAGGCCAGUAGUCAGCAGGGUGAAGAAACCAAAGCGCCUUGACCUGUUUGUGACCAAGGCAAAGAAACCAGCCCUUUCUUCUUCGACUCGUCCAAAGCGUCUGUCCGCUCGGGUGUGUGCCACGCAGGUAAAAUCGUACUUGGUCUCUAGUGAAAACUCUAGUGAUGUUGAUUCGGGCAGUGAACCUCAAGUGAAGAAAGAAGUCGGAAAGCGUACCAACACCAUCGCUAAUUCUACUGAUGAUGAGAAAAUGAUUAGACAGACUCCACGAAAGAACAGACCUCGAUUUUUUGACACAACAGAACAUUCGAAGUCAGAUAGUGACUGCUAUAGCAGUGGUAAUGACAGUUACAAUGAUGGAGGACACACUAACCACACUUCAUCUGCUCAAAAGAGGAAAAUUAUGCAGCAAACCAAAUAUCGCAAGGGGCUCGGCGAUGCAUCUCCUAAUAAAAAGAAGCAGGCCUCCGUGGAAAGGGAUGAUGAUGCUGAUCAAGGUGCAGCCCCUGACGCUGCCGCUGUGGAUGAUGAAGAUGACAGUCUUGAAGAUGAUGGCGAUGAAGGCGGAGCUAAUGUUGAUCAUAAUGAAGUGAUUAACUUGAAGGAUGAAACUGAAUUUGCCGACACGAUUAACAUGAUCUUCAAUAAGCUUCAGCAAAUAGAGGAUCUUCGGCGUAAGCACAACGUUUCAAGAGUAGAGGUGGUCAACGCCCUUCGUAAAGCAAGUGGAUCAGUGAGUGAGGCCAGUCAUGCUUUACAGUCAUGUAAAGGAGCGAGUGAUCCUGAAGAAGUUCUCCAGUCGAGUGAAGAAAAAGCGGGUAAGACCAACGAAGCUUCCCACCCAUCCAAGAGAAUGAUUAAGACCAACGAGGCUUUACAGUCACCAAUAAAAAGUAAAAGAGACGAAGUAAGUAGUAAAGUGAGUACUAUCGAGGCCACGCAAGCACCCUGUGGAGGCGGUCAGUCCAACAAAGCUUUACGGUCACGUGAAAAGGCGGGUAAAGACAAGGAAGCUACACAAUCGGCAAAAAUAAGUGAAAGCUCUAACAAAGCUAUCAAGUCGCCUUGGAAAGGAAGAAAUGAUAACGAAGAUAUCCACUCACCUUGCAAAGGAAAAAUUGUCAGCGAAGAUGUUAAGUCGCCCAGAAAAGGAAGAAAUGUUAUCAAAGCUUUCCAGUCACCAAAGAAAGGAAGUAAAUCAAGCGAAGAGAGUGAUAACCACGAAGCCACUAACUCACCCAAGAGAAAGAGUAAGACUAACGUAGCUAUACUGUCACCUAAGAAAAGCGGUUCGACAAGCCACGCCUUGAGGCCAAGCAAGAGGGUACGUGAGCCAUACGAGGCUCCACAGUUACGUAAAAGAAGACACGGAAACAAGACGGUGAUAGGUUAGCAGACAUAAUAUAAUAAUUUUAUAAUAUUAUAAGUUUAUAUUUUUAUAAAGACCCUUUUGUUGUACUACUGACAUUCCAGCACGCUGGAAGACCAGGCUAAAGACACUAGGUUUAGCCACGCCCUUGUAAACAGCUCCAGCAUUGCUGACCAAAACAGUCAACAUUUCUUACUCAGUUAUGAGCCUGCAAUGAUGGCUUGUGCUUUUCGCACUAGGCGACAAGCAUUAAACUUUACUCAUAUAUUUUAAUUGUGAAUAUUUUUAUGAAACACCGGCCGAUCCAUUCAGGAUCUUCGUGUUUUGAAUGUUUUGGUGAACAAGCGAUACACACUAUUUGUUAUUGAUGCCAUAAAAAAUAUUGUAGGGACCACAUACUUAGUGUUCUAACAGUGUUCUAAUACUAGACUGUAAUGAAAUAAGAGUUUUUCCAAGUAUUUUUCUAAAUUGUACACUGGGUACCAGAGGCUCGAACUCCAAGCUUCACUCACGCACUCUCAAAGAGCCGCGCAUCGUUCCCCGUAGCCAAGAGCCAAGACCGGCGUGACAGUAAACGAGUGAAGCUCGAGCCUCUAAAACAAGUAUCAAUUUCAGCAUUAGACUACAUCUUCUUAAUAUUGGCCAGCGUAAUAAGCGAAUAAGAGACUGGGAAAAGGGGACGAGAUCAAGCACGUGCCUGGGUGUGGUCUUCGUGUCCGUGGCCCUUAAAUUAUGCUGUCUACAUCGGCCACAGCUCUAGAAAAGAAUAACACUGCUAGAUAUAUUUGGGGCCUGAUGCCUAAAACGCUGUCUACAUCGGCCACACCUCUAGAAAAGAAUAACACUGCUAGGUAUAUUUGGGGCCUGAUGCCUAAAACGCUGUCUACAUCGGCCACAGCUCUAGAAAAGAAUAACACUGCUAGAUAUAUUUGGGGCCUGAUGCCUCAAACGCUGUCUACAUCGGCCACAGCUCUAGAAAAGAAUAACACUGCUAGAUAUAUUUGGGGCCUGAUGCCUAAAACGCUGUCUACAUCGGCCACAGCUCUAGAAAAGAAUAACACUGCUAGAUAUAUUUGGGGCCUGAUGCCUAAAACGCUGUCUACAUCGGCCACACCUCUAGAAAAGAAUAACACUGCUAGGUAUAUUUGGGGCCUGAUGCCUAAAACGCUGUCUACAUCGGCCACAGCUCUAGAAAAGAAUAACACUGCUAGAUAUAUUUGGGGCCUGAUGCCUCAAACGCUGUCUACAUCGGCCACAGCUCUAGAAAAGAAUAACACUGCUAGGUAUAUUUGGGGCCUGAUGCCUAAAACGCUGUCUACAUCGGCCACAGCUCUAGAAAAGAAUAACACUGCUAGAUAUAUUUGGGGCCUGAUGCCUAAAACGCUGUCUACAUCGGCCACAGCUCUAGAAAAGAAUAACACUGCUAGGUAUAUUUGGGGCCUGAUGCCUAAAACGCUGUCUACAUCGGCCACAGCUCUAGAAAAGAAUAACACUGCUAGAUGUAUUUGGGGCCUGAUGCCUAAAACGCUGUCUACAUCGGCCACAGCUCUAGAAAAGAAUAACACUGCUAGGUAUAUUUGGGGCCUGAUGCCUAAAACGCUGUCUACAUCGGCCACAGCUCUAGAAAAGAAUAACACUGCUAGAUAUAUUUGGGGCCUGAUGCCUAAAACGCUGUCUACAUCGGCCACAGCUCUAGAAAAGAAUAACACUGCUAGGUAUAUUUGGGGCCUGAUGCCUAAAACGCUGUCUACAUCGGCCACAGCUCUAGAAAAGAAUAACACUGCUAGAUAUAUUUGGGGCCUGAUGCCUAAAACGCUGUCUACAUCGGCCACAGCUCUAGAAAAGAAUAACACUGCUAGAUAUAUUUGGGGCCUGAUGCCUAAAACGCUGUCUACAUCGGCCACAGCUCUAGAAAAGAAUAACACUGCUAGGUAUAUUUGGGGCCUGAUGCCUAAAACGCUGUCUACAUCGGCCACAGCUCUAGAAAAGAAUAACACUGCUAGAUAUAUUUGGGGCCUGAUGCCUAAAACGCUGUCUACAUCGGCCACAGCUCUAGAAAAGAAUAACACUGCUAGAUAUAUUUGGGGCCUGAUGCCUAAAACGCUGUCUACAUCGGCCACAGCUCUAGAAAAGAAUAACACUGCUAGAUGUAUUUGGGGCCUGAUGCCUAAAACGCUGUCUACAUCGGCCACAGCUCUAGAAAAGAAUAACACUGCUAGAUAUAUUUGGGGCCUGAUGCCUAAAACGCUGUCUACAUCGGCCACAGCUCUAGAAAAGAAUAACACUGCUAGGUAUAUUUGGGGCCUGAUGCCUAAAACGCUGUCUACAUCGGCCACAGCUCUAGAAAAGAAUAACACUGCUAGAUAUAUUUGGGGCCUGAUGCCUAAAACGCUGUCUACAUCGGCCACAGCUCUAGAAAAGAAUAACACUGCUAGAUAUAUUUGGGGCCUGAUGCCUCAAACGCUGUCUACAUCGGCCACAGCUCUAGAAAAGAAUAACACUGCUAGAUGUAUUUGGGGCCUGAUGCCUCUAACGCUGUCUACAUCGGCCACAGCUCUAGAAAAGAAUAACACUGCUAGGUAUAUUUGGGGCCUGAUGCCUAAAACGCUGGGGAUGAUGACGAGGAUGCUGCCUGAUCCCAUCCUUAACAGGUGCCAGCUUUUCUUUCCGAAGUCAGUUGGUUUUUGUGUUACCCAUAAUUUAAAAUACAAGAAAGUAUUAGGCAUUCUUGAACUUCAGUAGAACACUUGUUUAAGAAAUUUACAACUUGAUAUUGUAAAAAAACUCUAAUCAAACACAUAAAAUAAACUAAUCAGAGCGCUUAGAAAAA